rnacentral:tRNA from 1 species
GGAGGCGGGUGGGCGCCUGGUGGCCCCCACGAUCUUCAACAUCGAUGCGGCCGAGACCACUCGGCCGGGCGGGUUCGAUUCCCGUACGCCUCCGCCA